UGGAUCCAGACUUUGAUUCUGGCUCAGGACGAACGCUGGCGGCGCGCCUAACACAUGCAAGUCGAACGGAGGUAUAUUUCGGAAGCUUUCGGGCGGAAGGGGUAUACUUUAGUGGCGAACGGGUGAGUAACACGUGAGGAACCUGCCCUCAAGAGGGGGAUAACACUUAGAAAUAGGUGCUAAUACCGCAUAAGACCACACUGCCGCAUGGCAGAGGGGUCAAAGGAGCAAUCCGCUUGGGGAUGGACUCGCGACCGAUUAGAUAGUAGGCGGGGUAACGGCCCACCUAGUCGACGAUCGGUAGCCGAGCUGAGAGGCUGAUCGGCCACAUUGGGACUGAGACACGGCCCAGACUCCUACGGGAGGCAGCAGUGGGGAAUAUUGCACAAUGGGGGAAACCCUGAUGCAGCGACGCCGCGUGAGCGAAGAAGGUUUUCGGAUUGUAAAGCUCUGUCUUAGGGGACGAAAGAUGACGGUACCCUGAGAGAAGUCACGGCUAACUACGUGCCAGCAGCCGCGGUAAAACGUAGGUGGCAAGCGUUGUCCGGAAUUACUGGGUGUAAAGGGAGCGCAGGUGGGUGUGCAAGUUGGGAGUGAAACUCAUGGGCUCAACCCAUGACCUGCUUUCAAAACUGUGCAUCUUGAGUGGAGUAGAGGCAGGCGGAAUUCCCGGUGUAGCGGUGGAAUGCGUAGAUAUCGGGAGGAACACCAGUGGCGAAGGCGGCCUGCUGGGCUCUAACUGACACUGAGGCUCGAAAGCGUGGGUAGCAAACAGGAUUAGAUACCCUGGUAGUCCACGCCGUAAACGAUGAUUACUAGGUGUGGGGGGACUGACCCCCUCCGUGCCGGAGUAAACACAAUAAGUAAUCCACCUGGGGAGUACGACCGCAAGGUUGCAACUCAAAUGAAUUGACGGA
rnacentral:rRNA from 1 species